rnacentral:rRNA from 1 species
GACAGAGGGUGCAAACGUUGUUCGGAAUUACUGGGCGUAAAGCGUGUGUAGGUGGCUGCGAAAGUCGGAUGUGAAAGCCCUGGGCUCAACUCAGGAAGUGCACCCGAUACUGCGUAGCUCGAGUACCAGAGAGGUUGGUAGAAUUCUCGGUGUAGAGGUGAAAUUCGUAGAUAUCGAGAGGAAUACCUGUGGCGAAGGCGGCCAACUGGACGAGUACUGACACUGAGACACGAAAGCGUGGGGAGCAAACAGG